GCUCUGGAGAAGAGGGGGCAAACCCUGAAACACCUCCCUGGCAGACGGCAGCACUUACACAAGMUGCAGAUGCUGGACUUGCACCGCAGGCGCCGAGAGGCUGAGCUGAAGAGAAAUCUCCACAGGGAGGCAAAAAUCAAUAAACAAAAAAUCAAGGAAUUCAACCCGAAGAAAGUCCUUGGCAAUCUCCAGAGAAGCAACAGCUCCGAAAGUCGAGACCUCAUCCCUGCUGAGCACAAUCAGACCUUUAAUGGAGACUGUGGAAAUACAUGGGAUGGACAAUUUUCAGGGCAACAUGACAGGGGUGAAUCUUCUCCAAGCAAGAGCAGCAAAGCUGAUAUGUGGUUCUGUCGGGAGCAGCCUGCAAGAGACCUGUUCUGGGAUAGCUCCAGCACUGACUCGGAGGACUGGGAAAGGGAAGGGAAGAACUUUUAUCACAAACCUACUCUUGUAAGAACCAAGACAGAGAGAAUUCCUCUCUUCGAUGAGCUUAUCUUGGAUGAAGAUUUGUAGUUGCGUGUUGUGGGAUGAGAGUGGUGUGCUAAAAAACAACCCAGAGCGCUCUGGUUGGGCUGAAAAUCCCCUGGCUGGAUAUAUUGAGGGUAUAGACAUGGUGUGGUGUUUGUAGUAAGCUGAAUUUCUGUAAGCAUGAGCCAGUGGAAAAGGCUACUGAAAAAAAAGGAGAUCGCUGACGUGGGGUGAAUAAUAACUGUUUUGGGAAUGUGGCUGAAUCUGGAAAAAAAAUGGCUUGGGCUGAGCAAGAGUUGAGUGAGGGGUGGAGGGAGGAGAAGGCUGGCAAAACAAACAAACAAAAGCUUGAAAAUGCUCUGAGUUAACCCCAGUUACAGUAUUAAGUUCAACUUGAAAUGAAAUGUUCCGCUUCCCUUUGGAACUUUUAACUUUAACUUACUGGUUAGCUUUUUUUUUUUUUUUUUUUUUUUUUUAACCUUAUGUCCUUUUCUAAACCACAAAAAUCUGGUUCAAAAAGGAAAAGUAAAAUGAUUGGCUUAGGAUAGCUUUAAAAUAAAUAUUCUGGCAUUUCCA
rnacentral:lncRNA from 1 species